rnacentral:rRNA from 1 species
GAUGAACGCUGGCGGCGUGCUUAACACAUGCAAGUCGAACGAUGAACACGGAGCUUGCUCUGUGGGAUCAGUGGCGAACGGGUGAGUAACACGUGAGCAACCUGCCCCUGACUCUGGGAUAAGCGCUGGAAACGGCGUCUAAUACUGGAUAUGUGACGUGACCGCAUGGUCUGCGUUUGGAAAGAUUUUUCGGUUGGGGAUGGGCUCGCGGCCUAUCAGCUUGUUGGUGAGGUAAUGGCUCACCAAGGCGUCGACGGGUAGCCGGCCUGAGAGGGUGACCGGCCACACUGGGACUGAGACACGGCCCAGACUCCUACGGGAGGCAGCAGUGGGGAAUAUUGCACAAUGGGCGCAAGCCUGAUGCAGCAACGCCGCGUGAGGGAUGACGGCCUUCGGGUUGUAAACCUCUUUUAGCAGGGAAGAAGCGAAAGUGACGGUACCUGCAGAAAAAGCGCCGGCUAACUACGUG